rnacentral:tRNA from 1 species
UCCCUGGUGGUCCAGUGGUUAAGAUUCCACACUUCCACAGUAAGAGGCACAGGUUCAAUUCUUGGCCAGGGAA